rnacentral:rRNA from 1 species
CUAAUACUGGAGAUGCACCGUGGACCGCAUGGUCCUUGGUGGAAAGAUUUUUUGGUCAGGGAUGGACUCGCGGCCUAUCAGCUUGUUGGUGAGGUAAUGGCUCACCAAGGCGACGACGGGUAGCCGGCCUGAGAGGGUGACCGGCCACACUGGGACUGAGACAUGGCCCAGACUCCUACGGGAGGCAGCAGUGGGGAAUAUUGCACAAUGGGCGAAAGCCUGAUGCAGCGACGCCGCGUGAGGGAUGACGGCCUUCGGGUUGUAAACCUCUUUCAGUAGGGAAGAAGCGAAAGUGACGGUACCUGCAGAAGAAGCGCCGGCUAACUACGUGCCAGCAGCCGCGGUAAUACGUAGGGCGCAAGCGUUAUCCGGAAUUAUUGGGCGUAAAGAGCUCGUAGGCGGUUUGUCGCGUCUGCCGUGAAAGUCCGAGGCUCAACCUCGGAUCUGCGGUGGGUACGGGCAGACUAGAGUGAUGUAGGGGAGACUGGAAUUCCUGGUGUAGCGGUGAAAUGCGCAGAUAUCAGGAGGAACACCGAUGGCGAAGGCAGGUCUCUGGGCAUUAACUGACGCUGAGGAGCGAAAGCAUGGGGAGCGAACAGGAUUAGAUACCCUGGUAGUCCAUGCCGUAAACGUUGGGCACUAGGUGUGGGGGACAUUCCGCGUUUUCCGC